AAAAUAAAACAAAAUUAAAAAAAGAGAAAAAAAAAUUGUAUAACCAAUAAAAAAACUAAAUUAUUAAAAAGUGUAAAAAAAAGAAGAAACAAGUUUAUUUAAAAAGUGGCUUUUAAGGAAAGCUUUAAAGUAUUAUAUAAUUUGCUAAUUGUUUCAGUUUUGGCUAAGAUUGAGCACAAACCAAGAAAAAUUAAACGAUUUGAAAGAAAUUUAAUAUUGUUGUCAGAUAUCGACAUAUACUCCAAAUUUCAACAUAUUUCAGUUACAGGAAGUGGUUUAAAAACUCAGAAAUAAUUUACGACAACAUACUAACAUAACUCCGAAUUUCCGAACUUAAUUCCUACUUAAUUUAAAGGAUAAAAUUAGUAGAAAAUUCUUAUAUGAUUAGUUCUCCCAACACAAUACUUCAUAGGAGAAAUUUUAAGUGAAAAGAAACUUUGAAAGAGCAGGUGGCUCUAAUUUUUUUGUAAGACAGCAAUUGAUGUGUGAUUAUUUUGAUGAUCAUCUUGAUCAGUAUUUGCUUUUUUAAUAUAUUGGUGAAGAUAUGGAAGUGUAAAUGAUAAUUGAAUGUCAAAUUGAUCACAAAUUGUGUAACGAGCAUAACAAACAUUUCUUGUAAAAAUAAAAUAUUGAGAAUAAUACAUUCAUACAAAAUGAAGUACUAUCCAGCUCUCUACUUAUAAUCUAAAUUUCUGACAAAAACAUCUCAAAUA